rnacentral:rRNA from 1 species
CUACGGGAUGCAGCAGUGGGGAAUCUUGCGCAAUGGGCGAAAGCCUGACGCAGCAACGCCGUGUGAAGGAUGAAGGUCUGAGGAUUGUAAACUUCUGUUAGGGGGGAAGAAGUACUGACGGUACCCCCAAAGAAAGCACCGGCUAACUCCGUGCCAGCAGCCGCGGUAAUACGGAGGGUGCAAGCGUUAUUCGGAAUUACUAGGUGUAAAGGGCGUGUAGGUGGUUUGUUAAGUUAGAUGUGAAAUCUCACAGCUCAACUGUGGGGCUGCAUUUAAAACUGGCAGACUUGAGUAUAGGAGGGGGAAACGGAAUUUCUGGUGUAGCGGUGGAAUGCGUAGAUACCAGAAGGAACACCGACGGCGAAAGCGGUUUCCUGGCCUAAUACUGACACUAAGGCGCGAAAGCUAGGGGAGCAAACAGGAUUAGAUACCCUUGUAGUC